UGUGUUAGAAAACCAAAUUUAAUUAUCAAUGUCAAAAUAAUUUGCAUUUAUAUACAAAUAGAACAACUAUUACAAAUGUGGAAGAUUUUAAUAAUCUGAAGUGCAUUAGUACCUGGUUUUCUCAGCUUGCACCAUGCUAGGCACUUUAACAACACAGUUCAUGUCCUUCAUGUGUUUUGACCUACACUUACAGCUAGUUCUUAAUACUGCACCUACAGAAAUGCUUUGCAAACAGCAAGUACUUUGUACAGCAAAAUCAAACCAUAACAAAGCCAUUCCUGAAGUGUACGUGCUUGUUCUCAUUUGCUCCAACACAAUGCCACUGUAGAAUUGGUGUGCUUUGUUGCCACCUUCUGAGUGCUAGCAGAGGUGUGCACUGCAGCAGAGGAAGUGAAGGCACACACCCCUACUUCAUUUGCUUUACUUUUUCAGGCAGUGUUGUGUGGAAUAGUUAAUUUCAUAAAGCCUUACGGAACUGCAUAAUGAAGAGGCAAGGAAGACAAUGUAAUCUUUGUGCUGAAAUCCUGCACUAGCAUUCUCUUAAUCUCUCAACAAGUACUCAUUAUGUUUUGGACCCACUGAUUAUUACAAAACUCAGCUCGCUUCUCCAACAAGUUGGCAGCAACUUGGGCAGCUCAACGGAGGAAAGCUAAGCAGUUUUAUUUACUGGCUAGUGUCUAAACUUUAAUUGCCAACAUUAGCCUUGGUAGUUCAGGAAGUGUAGGAGCCAGCUAUAGCUGUUAGCUGUGUAAAUACUCAUUCCCUCUGUCCUGGAUAAACAGCACUGUUUUCAUCUAUGACAGGGAGGCAGUGGUCUCCUGCAUAAUGUAAACCCUUCUCUACCUUACCAAACUUCUCCAUGAUCACAAUACAUACCUUGGAAAAAAAUGCUGUAAUUCAAACUUCAAUUCAAACAAAAUUUCAAUUCAAUUCAAACAAAAAUUCAAACAAAAAGGAUGUACAAUAAUAACAUCAUGAGGUGGUACUGGUAUUUUUUGGUGGAGUACCGCUGAGAAGUUCUGCAGAAGUACUCUGUUUGUAUGAUGGAUAUUAAUGGCUGUAAGCAGAUCAUCGAUUAUACAGAAUAUGCUAUGUCUCUCUUCGUUUUUAUGCUACACUGUGUGUGUGUGUGAAGUCAGUUCACACAUCAUAGUUGCUUUCCUGGAGUUUUCCUUCCAUAAAUGUCAACUGCUUUACAUCAUUUUGACUUCUCUACCUCAUCUGUUUUGGGGAUGAGAGUCUCACACAACCUACCUGUGCUUUCAGGGAUCAGAGCAGUAUUGGAUGUCAAACUCUUACAGAAAAAAAACACAUGGCAGUGGUCCUUAACAUGGUGUUUUAUUUCCACCACGUAUAAAAAAAAAAAAACCAUGGUGUUUUAUUUACACACUUUCUGCUGUGCGUUCCAGAAGCUAAUAGUCUGGAUAAUUUCUACUUAAAGAUCUCAAGCAAAAAGGUGAAGAGUCAAUGCAGAAACCAAUUCCUAGGUUUGGCAGCCUCAACAGUUUGCAGUGUGGCCCUGGGCAAGUCACUUGUCCUCUCUUUCUCUGUAACAGGGAGGAGAAUAUCUAUUGUGGAAGGAGAUUCUUAAUAGUAUUUGUAAAGUGCUUUGAAGAUGAGAAAUGCUGUUGAAGUGCUCAUAAAUUAUGCUGCAUUCAUUGCAAGAUGAUUAGGUACAUGAUUCAGAUUUGGUCACCUCAUUUCAGGGUUGUUAAAAAAAUGAUCCAAGAUCCACUGCAAAGAAAUGCUAUUACAGCCUUUCACUAGAAGAAACAUUUAAGCCAAGUACAGCCAAUUAACUAGAAAAUCAGAAGUAUCUAUGGGGCAAAAAAAUAGGUCUCUGUAUCCAGACCCUAAUAUAUUGAAAACUAUAAAAAUAAAUGUGCAAUAUGCCUCUGCAAAUUGUAGGCAAAGGCCUAACUUCACACUCUGCAAGCUGGAAAUAAGUAUGACAUUUCUGUGUGAAAAUCCAUUUUAAGAACUGAGUCACAGGCAAGGUCCACACAUCAUACAUUAAACUUGCACAGAUACUCUCUGUGAACUGCAGAGCAGUAUCUACUUACAGCAGGUGCAAGUACUGCCUCCAGUUGGGUUGCUUUCUGAAAAAACUACCUUUUAAUUUAGUCAUUUUAGAUAGGUUUGGGGG
rnacentral:lncRNA from 1 species